rnacentral:rRNA from 1 species
AGCAGCCGCGGUAAUUCCAGCUCCAAUAGCGUAUAUUAAAGUUGUUGCAGUUAAAAAAGCUCGUAGUUGAAUUUCGGGACCAAUAUGUCGGUCGUGCUUCGGUACGUACUUGCAUUAUUGGUUUCUCCCUUCUGAAGAACCAUGAUGUCAUUAAUUUGGUGUCUUGGGGAAUCAGGACUGUUACUUUGAAAAAAUUAGAGUGUUUAAAGCAGGCUCACGCUUGAAUACAUUAGCAUGGAAUAAUGAAAUAGGACGUUUGAUUCUAUUUUGUUGGUUUCUAGGAUCGACGUAGUGAUUAAUAGGGAUAGUUGGGGGCAUUAGUAUUCAAUUGUCAGAGGUGAAAUUCUUGGAUUUAUUGAAGACUAACUACUGCGAAAGCAUUUGCCAAGGAUGUCUUCAUUAAUCAAGAACGAAAGUUAGGGGAAUCGAAGACGAUCAGAUACCGUCGUAGUCUUAACCAUAAACUAUGCCGACUAGGGAUCGGAUGAUGUUAUUUUUGAUGA